AAGUCGUAACAAGGUUUCCGUAGGUGAACCUGCGGAAGGAUCAUUAACACGUUAUCCACGUAUCAACCAAUCGAGAACUUGUUUUCACGUCUCCCUUUGCAAUUUGAAUGAAUUGGCUAACCAGUUUGAGGGAAUUGAUGUGGAUUGCAUUCAUUUGCAAUCGGCCUUCCUGGUAUACUUAUGAGCUAUUGAAAAAUAGUUUGUUAACAAUUGUAUCUUAUUGCUGAAAGGCCAAAUUUCUUUCGAUAUUUUGAUCUCCAUCAUGAUCAAUAAAGUAUUGAAGGAGCAAAACCUUAUAAAACUAUUUUCACCACCUUUUUGCUAGUUGACUUUUUAUAUGUGAUUGUUUUGCUUAAUUGCAAUGUAGUCGCACGUUUAAUUACUUGAACGUUAAAAAAUACAACUCUUAGCAAUGGAUAUCUUGGUUCUC
rnacentral:misc_RNA from 1 species